ACCCUCGAAUUGGAUGGCUUGGAACAUCUGACAAUCUCGCCAAUUUUGCAUAUUCUGCUUCCAAUGGCUUAGGCGGCCUCAGAAGAUUGAAUAAUCUGUUCGCUAACAAGAAAGAGCAAUUAAAAUAAAAGUGUACAGUAUGCAAUCGGCCAUUGAUAGGAAUAGUGAUGGAGGAUGUGAAACAAUAAACAAUUCUUGAAAUAAAUAAGUAAAAACUCAAAAUAAACAUGCCAUUGGUUCAGUCUGAAUAUGAAUAUGUAAAAACCCCAAUUUCUUAACAGAACCCCAUGGAAAAUUACACAGCUUGUUCACUAAACAAGAAAGCACAGAGAUAUAAAUCAACAUUGAAAAAUCAAAGAAAGGAAACUUAUAUAUUAUUCGGAAAAAAAAAAGAGAGCGAAGAAACCCACACGUAAAUUACAUAGCAUAUUCUGCAGACAGAACAAUCAAAAGAAAGCAAGAUUAUCUUUCAUCUGAGAAAAGUGAAAGAAAUCCCAGAUAUUAGAUAGCUUAUUCACUAAACAAUAAACAACAACGGAAACAUAAUUUGAAGAUUGUCUAAUAACGAAUCACAAAGAUAUGAUCAAAUAGUACAAUCGACCCUAGACAGGACAUCGAUUGAAAAUAAUGAAACCCUGGAAUUGGAUGGCUUGGAACAUCUGACAAGCUCGCUCAUUUUGCGUAUUCUGCUUCCAAUGGCUUUGGCGGCCUCAGAAGAUUGAAUAAUUUGUUCGUUAAACAAGAAAGAGCAACAAAAAUAUAAGUGCACAGUAUACAAUCGGCCAUUGAUAGGAAUAGUUAUGGAGGAUGUGAAAGCAUAAACAAUUAUUAAAAUAAACAAGUAAAAACUCAAAAUAAACAUGUCAUUGGUUCAGUCUGAAUAUGAACAUGUAAAAAACCCAAAUUCUUAACAAAACCCCAUGGAAAAUUGCAGAGUUUGUUCACUAAACAAGAAAGCAUAGAGAUAUAAAUCUACAUUGAAAAAUCAAAGAAAGAGAACUUAUCUUUUAUCGGGAAAAAGAAAAGAAAGAAAGAAAGCGAAGAAACCCACACGUAAACAAGAAAGGACAUCGAUUGAAAAUAAUGAAUCGAAUUGGAUGGCUUGGAACAUCUGACGAUCUCGCAGAUUUUGCGUAUUCUGCCUCCAAUGGCUUCAGCGGCCUCACUCUCUCUCUCUCUUUUUCUCUCUCUUCCUCUCUCGUUUUUCUCUCUCUUGUAUUGGUUUGUCUCUCUCUAAAUGGCUAUUUAUAUCUUCCUUUUUCUUGAGUGGAUACGAAUCAAUUCUGUUUUGAUUUUGUCAGAACGGACUAAUAUUCAAAUCGACAGCUACGCUCGGCUAAGGCCAUUCCCAAUUCCAGUUACACGUUUUACAGUUAAGCUAAUCUAAUUGUUUUGUUUUUUAAUUUUUUUAUUUUUAGUGUACUUAUUUUAUUAUUUGAUUAAUUUUUUACUAGAUAAAUAUAACAAUGUUAUUUUUUUACAAAAAUACCCCCCAAAAAAUAUAGAAAUUAAAUUAGAUAAAC
rnacentral:lncRNA from 1 species